UUUAUUAAAAUGGCUGUUUCGAGAGUCAGUGAUGUACCCUGUUGCGCCUUUUUUUUUUCUCUCUCAAGAUUUGAUUGACGACGACAUCAGUGACGACUUGGACUGUGUGGAACAAUCAAACAGACAGUGGAAAGUGGGCCCGGGGAUCAUAAAAUGGCUUUAAUGAGAAUGUAAGUUAUGCAAAUGCAAAAUGUGUGUUUUCAAUUUUAAAAAGAAAUCUAUUCUAUUUCCGUCAUGUUGAAUUGAAAUGGGCUGGCAUUCAAUGUUUAAACGUGUGAAAAAUGAUAUUAGAAUGUCACUUUAGGAUGUCCUUGAGUGAUUUUUUUUGCGAGCACCUCUAGGGGUGUAACUGAACAUGGAAAUGGAAACACUUUCUGAUGUCAUCAUUAAUAUUGUUUUAAUGAUCCUUAUAGGUUUAAGCUGCUCUUCCAGAAGGAAUGUGUCAUGACGGUUGCCUCUAGCUACUUCUCCGAGUGUUGAAUGAGAAGCCAUGUCAGAUGACGACCCCCCCCAAAGUGUCUUUUCGCACACUAAUCGUUCACUCUUUCAACAAUACAUUGAGUUACAUAGGGUGAAUUUACACAGGCAGCCCAAUUCUAAGCUUUUGCCCAAUUAUUAACCAAUUGCAAAAAAUGACCAAUGCCAAAAGAUCAUAAUUGAGCUUCCUGUGUAAAUGUAGCCAUGGUGUGUAACAAUUAGUUCUCAUCAGCCUCAUUUUCACAAAGUACACCAAAAUAGAAUGUAUGUAGAAAGAAUAAAGUUUAACAGUGUAUUUCUUUGGUUUUGUUUAAUCAUCAUUUUUUGUUGUUGUUGAUGUGAACACCUGCACCUACUUUUAAAUGCAAUUGGGAUAAAUAUAUAACAGGUUAAAGCAAGGCAUACCUUGGAUGUAACCAUGGGAUAAACUGAACAGGAAGAGGGUUUACUCCGCCCAAAAUCUGUUCACAAAAAUAAGACCAUGAUGUGAGGAAUUUUUGUAUGGAAGUCAAUGAGUGUGUCAAAUUUGAUCAAUAAAAAAAUGUAAUUACUAAUUUGCUACGUGAGACUUACAGUGGAUAUCAUAAGUAUUCACCAACCAUAGAUUAAAAAAAAAAUUGUGUUGCAU
rnacentral:lncRNA from 1 species